ACUCAAAGGAAUAGACGGGAGCCCGCACAAGCAGUGGAGUAUGUGGUUUAAUUCGAAGCAACGCGAAGAACCUUACCAGGGCUUGACAUCCACGGAACCCGGCGUAAUGGCUGGGGUGCCCUUCGGGGAGCCGUGAGACAGGUGGUGCAUGGUUGUCGUCAGCUCGUGUCGUGAGAUGUUGGGUUAAGUCCCGCAACGAGCGCAACCCUUACUGUCAGUUGCUACGAAAGAGCACUCUGGCGGGACUGCCGUUGACAAAACGGAGGAAGGCGGGGACGACGUCAAAUCAUCAUGCCCCUUACGUUCUGGGCUACACACGUACUACAAUGGCGCAAACAACGGGGAGCAAGGCGGCGACGCGGAGCAAAUCCCAAAAAGGCGCCUCAGUUCAGAUUGCAGGCUGCAACUCGCCUGCAUGAAGUCGGAAUUGCUAGUAAUCGCGGAUCAGCAUGCCGCGGUGAAUACGUUCCCGGGCUUUGUACACACCGCCCGU
rnacentral:rRNA from 1 species